rnacentral:tRNA from 1 species
UCCUCCGUAGCUCAAUGGCAGAGCACCCGACUGUUAAUCGGGUGGUUGCUGGUUCGAGUCCAGCCGGGGGAGCGA